GACGAACGCUGGCGGCGUGCUUAACACAUGCAAGUCGAACGGAAAGGCCCUGCUUUUGUGGGGUGCUCGAGUGGCGAACGGGUGAGUAACACGUGAGUAACCUGCCCUUGACUUUGGGAUAACUUCAGGGAACUGGGGCUAAUACCGGAUAGGAGCUCCUGCUGCAUGGUGGGGGUUGGAAAGUUUCGGCGGUUGGGGAUGGACUCGCGGCUUGUCAGCUUGUUGGUGGGGUAGUGGCUUACCAAGGCUUUGACGGGUAGCCGGCCUGAGAGGGUGACCGGCCACAUUGGGACUGAGAUACGGCCCAGACUCCUACGGGAGGCAGCAGUGGGGAAUAUUGCACAAUGGGCGGAAGCCUGAUGCAGCAACGCCGCGUGCGGGAUGACGGCCUUCGGGUUGUAAACCGCUUUCGCCUGUGACGAAGCGUGAGUGACGGUAAUGGGUAAAGAAGCACCGGCUAACUACGUG
rnacentral:rRNA from 1 species